GUCUACGGCCAUACACCCUGAACGCGCCCGAUCUCGUCUGAUCUCGGAAGCUAAGCAGGGUCGGGCCUGGUUAGUACUUGGAUGGGAAGAGAGAAGAGGGUUGGCAGGUU
rnacentral:rRNA from 1 species